ensembl:lncRNA
CACUUCAGAGCAGGGGAACUUUGAAGGUGUCUUCAUUGAGAAAGAUGAGGAAGUUGCUGAGUUUGUGAAAUACAUCCAGAGACACACAAAUCAUGUCCCGGGGAAAGGGUUGUGCGGAUCUUCAUCUUGGACUGCAGCAAAGGAGUCGUCCAAAAAGUCCACUGGGAAGUUGGAUGAGGAGGGCAUGGAAAUAGCUGUUUGUCGCCACGGAGUCCUCUUAGCUGCAUUGAACAUGUUUCGAGGGGAGAUCUUUGCUUACCCCCUUUUUCUCCAGAGGAAGUUGGCAGCUAGCGUCCCAGGACAUAUUACGUUCCUUUGCUCCGAUGUGACCUGUAAAUAUUUCCCCUAUUUAACCAAGGUGGCUCAGCAGUGCCCUGAGCUGAGGAACCUCUUGUCAAUGCUUCCUCUUCUCUCCGUCAUGCAUGCAAAGCUCACACUUGGAAAUGCGAGAUCAAAUGGGGAGGUGCGUUUCAGGAUGGGGCCGGUUCAACAGUUGGAGAAGAGGUGGAACAAGUAAACAGUUUCCUGUCUAGGGCGGCCAUCACAACGAAGUACAUGUCUAAAGCAGACAUGCUGACCCUCCUGGCUUUGGGCUGGAACAAAAGGAAAGUGGAACAACUGGGCCGCACUUUGAGCCAGCGAUAUCUAAAGGUCAUUUUUUCAACACCCAUUUUAAUGUGUGUGGUAUUGGGGGGAAAACACCAGUACUCUUUUAAUGUCAAUAUGAAUGACAUUUAUGAAUGCAUUCUUAGAUCAUAAGGAUCCUUAGAGAACAAGUGGAGAGCCUGAAUGCGAGCAGAAAUGAGCUGGGUGUGGAUGACGACACACUGCAGCAAUGGGCUGAAGAAAGUGAUCAAACUGAUGGCAGCCUUGGAGCGUUGCAGGCACGAAUAGAGGAGCUUGUCGUCAUCAUCAGAGUGCGAACACAAAGUCUUUACAGACAAAAUGAUAGCAACAAGAGGCGACACAGAAUUCGCAAGGUCAUCUUAGUUGAGAAGAAACGCUUGGCGGCUGCUGUUGACGACUACAACAAGCUCGCUGAACCAACAAAGCAAAUCGUAUCCAGUGAUGCCCUCAUGCAGAGCGACGUUUGGCCCUGGCAGAGCACAAGUGAACCUGCUGCUGACCUCCGGACAAAGAGAAAGGUCUUUGAGAAGGUGAUGGCUGUGAGGCGCCUGAGAGAGGAGGAGAUGAUGCUCUGCAGGGAGAUGCAGCAUCACUGGACAGUGUUGCGAAUGCGUUCUGUGGUGUUGGGGACAAUCUCCUCAGACUGUAAGCACUUUAUUUAUUUAUUAAUUUUUUGAUGAAUCGAUUGAAAAUAAGAGCAGAUGCUAAAGUCUUACUGGAUCUUUUACCUAUAUCUAGAUUGCUAGCUAACACUGCCUUCUCCCUUUUAAAAAAAUGUUUAAUUACAGCAUCCUAAUUCCUUGUGUUUAUGAGGUGAUGUUUUUUUGUUUGUUUGUUUUUUUUACUUUUC